rnacentral:rRNA from 1 species
UUGAACGCUGGCGGCAGGCCUAACACAUGCCAGUCGAGCGGUAGAGAGAAGCUUGCUUCUCUUGAGAGCGGCGGACGGGUGAGUAAUGCCUAGGAAUCUGCCUGGUAGUGGGGGAUAACGUUCGGAAACGGACGCUAAUACCGCAUACGUCCUACGGGAGAAAGCAGGGGACCUUCGGGCCUUGCGCUAUCAGAUGAGCCUAGGUCGGAUUAGCUAGUUGGUGGGGUAAUGGCUCACCAAGGCGACGAUCCGUAACUGGUCUGAGAGGAUGAUCAGUCACACUGGAACUGAGACACGGUCCAGACUCCUACGGGAGGCAGCAGUGGGGAAUAUUGGACAAUGGGCGAAAGCCUGAUCCAGCCAUGCCGCGUGUGUGAAGAAGGUCUUCGGAUUGUAAAGCACUUUAAGUUGGGAGGAAGGGCAGUAAAUUAAUACGUUGCUGUUUUGACGUUACCGACAGAAUAAGCACCGGCUAACUCUGUG